rnacentral:misc_RNA from 1 species
GAAAAUAUUUAUUAAUUGCAAUGGAGCAGAGUCAACCACCGCCAACAACGCCGGUGCCGGCGCCGGCGACACCCAUUUCGCAGCCAGCUGAACCAAUUCCGGCAACAUCUCCAGCUCUGCCACCUCCUUCCUCUGCCCCAAUAAGUCAACUUCCUUCUACAACAACCACUACAUCAGUAGCAUCACAACCACUAAACCUAAACCCUACCACCACCACCACCACCUCAGCUUCUAAAACCACUACUACUACCACUACCAGUUCAGGUACUAAAACCAUCACCACUACCACCACUACCAUCAGCCCUGGCGGUACCAUCACUGCCGCUGCCGUGCAGCAGCAAAACCCUUCAGCAGCCACUUCACAACAAAAUGCUCAAAUAAGACAACCGUUUGGCCGGCCAUGGCAACAGCCUUCACCUUUUCAACACUUUUCGUUACCUCCUCCACCUCCAC